GAGCCUUGCUGUAGGAGAUGAAUUUGCUAAUUUGUUCCUGCUGCUUCUGCACAGAGUGGGCCUGCGCCUGGCUGCACAGGGUCCAGGCUAACAUUUUCUUUCACUGACUCAAACGAGGACAGAUGACGCCCAUGGUUUAUGGCUCCUCCCUCAUUUGUCCCUGGUCUGUCACAAUCAUUACAUGAUGGACUCUAGGAAAAUAGUCAUUGAGGAAAAAUGGAUGGCAGAGAGAAAAAAUAGAUCUUCUUAAUCCAGCCCUUGUCAGCUGAAAGCACACUCACCAGCCCCUGAGAUGCUCACUUGCCAGGACUUGAGAUACUCUGGCUCUUCUGGAGGGAACUGUUGCAGGAAGACAGAUGUAACAAAGUUAGGGCUUUUCAGAUUGGAAUGGAAGAAGCUGAGAGUCUGUCUC